GCCGGGUGCGGUGGCAUGUGCCUGUAAUCCAUCACUGGGAGGCUGAGGUUGGUGGAUCAAGUGAGCUGAGGAGCUCUGGGCUGCAGCACGCUAUGUCGAACGGGUGUCCACGCUAAGUUCGGUAUCGAUUGGUGUUCCUGGGGGGACCGGGACCACCAGGGUUGUCUAAGGAGGGGUGACCGGUAGGUUGGAAACGAAGCAGGUCAAAUCCCCGUGCUGUCCAGUAGUGGGAUAAUACCUGUGGUAGAUGCAUGCAGUGCAGCCUUGGCAAAACAUUGACCUAUCUUUA
rnacentral:SRP_RNA from 1 species